rnacentral:misc_RNA from 1 species
AUGUCAUUGCCUGCUGACGUCAG